rnacentral:rRNA from 1 species
CCUACGGGAGGCAGCAGUGAGGAAUAUUGCACAAUGGGGGAAACCCUGAUCCAGCGACGCCGCGUGAGUGAAGAAGGAUUUCGGUAUCUAAAGCUCUAUCAGCAGGGAAGCAAAUGCCGGUACCUGACUACGAAUCCCCGGCUAACUACGUGCCAGCAGCCGCGGUAAUACGUCGGGGGCCAGCGUUAUCCGGAUUUACUGGGUGUAAAGGGAGCGUAGUCGGCGCGGCAAGUCUGAAGUGAAAGGCAGGGGCUUAACCCCUGAACUGCUUUGGAAACUGCCAUGCUAGAGUGCUGGAGAGGUAAGUGGAAUUCGUAGUGUAGCGGUGAAAUGCGUAGAUAUAAGGAGGAACACCAGUGGCGAAGGCAGCUUACUGGACAGUAACUGACGUUGAGGCUCGAAAGCGUGGGGAGCAAACAGGAUUAGAUACCCCAGUAGUC